rnacentral:rRNA from 1 species
CAGCCGCCGCGGUAAUACCGGCGGCCCGAGUGGCGGUCACUAUUAUUGGGCUUAAAGCGUCCGUAGCCGGGUUGGGAAGUCCUCCGGGAAAUCUGGCCGCUUAACGGUCAGAAUGCCGGAGGAUACUCCCAGCCUAGGGACCGGGAGAGGCCGAGGGGAUUCCCGGGGUAGGGGGGAAAUCCUAUAAUCCCGGGAGGACCACCUGUGGCGAAGGCGCUCGGCUGGAACGCGUCCGACGGUGAGGGACGAAGGCCAGGGGAGCAAACCGGAUUAGAUACCCGGGUAGUCCUGGCUGUAAACGAUGCGGACUUUGUGUCGGACAAGCUAUGAGCUUGUCCGGUGCCGGAGGGAAACCGUUAAGUCCGCCGCCUGGGGAGUACGGCCGCAAGGCUGAAACUUAAAGGAAUUGGCGGG